rnacentral:rRNA from 1 species
GGAGUACGAUCGCAAGAUUAAACUCAAAGGAAUUGACGGGGCCCCGCACAAGCAGCGGAGCAUGCGGCUUAAUUCGACGCAACGCGAAGAACCUUACCAAGGCUUGACAUAUAGGGAAAAGUGGCAGAGAUGUCAUGUCCGCAAGGGCUCUAUACAGGUGGUGCAUGGUUGUCGUCAGCUCGUGUCGUGAGAUGUUGGGUUAAGUCCCGCAACGAGCGCAACCCUCGUUCUGUGUUGCCAGCAUUUAGUUGGGGACUCACAGGAGACUGCCGGGGUUAACUCGGAGGAAGGUGGGGAUGACGUCAAAUCAUCAUGCCCCUUAUGUCUUGGGCUGCACGCAUGCUACAAUGGCCGGUACAGAGGGCUGCAAUACCGUAAGGUGGAGCGAAUCCCAAAAAGCCGGUCUCAGUUCGGAUUGAGGUCUGCAACUCGACCUCAUGAAGUUGGAGUUGCUAGUAAUCGUAGAUCAGCAACGCUACGGUGAAUACGUUCCCGGGGCUUGUACACACCGCCCGUCACGUCACGAAAGUCGGUAACACCCAAAGUCAGUGGCCCAACCGCAAGGGGGGAGCUGCCUAAGGUGGAUCGGUGAUUGGGACG